GUUUGCACCCGAUCUCGUCUGAUCUCGGAAGCUAAGC
ensembl:rRNA 5S_rRNA 5S ribosomal RNA